CAUCUGCUCUUCUUUAACAUUUGUCUUGAGUUAUGGUAAGCCACAGACUUUUGACACCUUUAAAUAAUUGUAUUAUAUUAAUGUAAAGCUUUAUGAUUUUGGUAACACUGGAUUGUUCAUCUACUUUGCAGGUUAAGCUAAUAAGAUUCCUGUCAGUUCAGAUAAAGCAUGUGUCUUUUUAAAUGAAGGCAGUAAUGCUACUCUGUCCUGUACCUUUGACGAAUCAGCUUACCGUCUCCACUGGUUUUGACAGAAGACCGGAUCAAAGUUAGAGUUUUUUGCUGCUAGUUGAUAAAUCCACCAAAUUUGUAGUGCCAGCUAGUUGACCUCUUCCGCAUCCAUUAGCAUCCAUAAUACCAAACAUGUGGAUCUGGAGAUCUCCUCUGCUGCUGUAUCAGCUAAAGUUUAAGUAUUACAAACUUCUUAUGCCUUUUCUUUAAUAUAUACUGCCGGAGACUUUGAACCACAGAUCACAUUAACUGGUUUAAAGACUAAGGUAUAAAAACUAAACAACUUUCCCAUAGGGCGGAGCUUAAUAUAAAGAUGUAGAAGCAUUUUAAUCUGAGGGAGGAUGUCAGAAUUCAAAGACAUCCAGUCUGAAUGAUACUCAAGUCUCUCAGAUUCUUCUUCAGAUUUCUGCUGUCAUGAUUAUUUUUACUCUCCUCACUUUUUUGUGGAUGUGUAUGGGGCACACAGAGGCAGAUGCAAUAAAACCCUUGUCACUGAAUGUAAAUAGACGUGUUGGUGACAGUGUUAAUUUGUCCUGUAGCUAUAAAGACUAUACAGCUACUGUACAAAAUUUACAAUGGUACAGACAAUAUCCCAGAUCCAAACCGGAGUUCCUCCUUUAUAUCUUAGAAAAUGGAGCUAUGAGUGAAGACAGACCACCCAGAUUUACUGCUGCAGUUAAAAAAGACAACAAACAAGUGGAUCUGAAGAUCUCUCCUGCUGAAGAGACAGACUCUGCCAUGUACUACUGUGCCCUGGUGCCCACAGUGACAGGAAACCCACAUGCUCUGUACAAAAACUUAAUACCUUAACACAUCUUACAUUAAACAAAAAAUGUGACACCAACUUCUAAUCAUGCACAAUAAAUCAUUGUUGCAACGGUUGUUCUUUUUUUCUCUAAAUCUAAUGAAACAUUGUCAGGUAUUUUCAUUUUUAGAGAAAAACAGCCCAUCAAGAAAGAAGACAAAGCCUCAGCCAGAGGGUGGAGCAAAUUCACAAAGUUGAAUGUUUGAAAGGCUGAUUCAUUUAGAGUCAUCCUGCUUUCAUAGUUUUACAAUCACUAUACAUCAGAAACCAUCAUGUUUCUGUUUUGUUGGAUACCACUGACAUUACUCAUAGGUAAAAACAUUUUUUUAUUGUUUAUUUUAUUAAAAAUAUAUAUUUUAUGUAUUAAAUUGUAUCACAUUGUGAACAAGUUACUUAGUAUCAAUUUAAUUAAUACAAUUGCAUGCAUUUAUUCCAUACAGGAAAUUCCUUUGCUGACACAAUACAGCCAUUGUCUUCUGAAAAACACAUUUCAGAGGUGACAAUGUGACUCUGUCCUGUAACUACAGUGGUUUUGUAUAUGACCUGCAAUGGUAUCGAAAUUUUGGGGGAUUUAGACCAGAAUUCCUGAUACUUGUAAAUGAAAAUUCAGAGGCAUCUGAGCAUUCUCUUCGUCUGUCAGCAAAAGACUCAAAAGAGAAGAAACAAGUGAUUCUUAAAAUCUCUUCUGCUGAAGUGACGUGAUUAUGCUCUGGUA
rnacentral:lncRNA from 1 species